ACCUGGCUGGUUCAGUUGGAAAAGUGUGAGACUCUUGAUCUCAGGAUUGUGAGUUCAAGCCCCAUGUUGGGUG
rnacentral:tRNA from 1 species